AGUGAAUGAAGUAGAGUCCGUUAUCAACCCAUAACAUCUGCUGCAGUGUCAAGUGAUGAAACGAGCAACUCCAAAGUCCAAGACAGCUGCGAUGGCUUUCUUAAUACAGUUGGGUAUUGUGCAAACAAACAGGCGCUGAUACGGUCUAUGCCUGUCACAAUUAUUCAGGCGAGUGAUACAUCUUCCUGUAUUAGCUGCUUGAACAGUCCUAUUUCGGUUUGUUUGUUUGUUUAUUUGUUUGUUUGGGAGGAGGGGGGAUUUUCUAUAAUAACAAGGCGGCGGGUGGGUGGGGGUAGGGGAAGGGAAAGUUAACUACUGCUUAACAAUCGCCGCUCAGCUCCCUAGCCUCGUGAAAGGAAAAGAGGAAUGCUGGAAACGAAUAAGAAAGGGGGGGGGGGAAAUACAAAUUAAAAUUGGGCACUGGAGCAACAAAGCAUAAACUUAAAUAAACAUGAUAAAAGUCGAGGGAGCCAGCUUCUCUCUACAGGGCAAAUGCAUCCAAGAGAAUACCUUUGCUGAGCACAGUUAAAAACAAAAAAGGGAGCAGUUGUAUAUGUAUAUACAGAGAAGCAGUGUGGUAUAGUGGUUAGAGUGUUGGAAAAGGACUUGGGAGACCAGGGUUUGAAUCCCCACUCAGUUCUAAAACUCACCAGGGAAUUUGGGGCCGGUCGCUGUCUCUCAGUCCAUCCUACCUCACAGGGCUGUCAUAAGGGGGUGUGGGAUGAAUGAGGAGAACCACAUUCACCACCUUGAGAAAAAAAGAGGAGAAAUGUAAGAAUACUAUAAUACAUGCACAAUCACACACACACACCAUCUUCUUAGGAUUCUGAGUUCACUCUUAUAUCGUGUUUUAAGGGAGGUAUCUAGGCCUAGGACCCAUGUACCUACGGGACCACCUCUCCUGGUAUGCCCCGCGGAGGACCUUAAGGUCCACAAAUGACAACACUUUGGAGGUCCCAAAUCUCAAGGUGGUUAGAUUGGUCUCAACUAGGGCCAGGGCCUUUUCAGCACUGGCCCCGACGUGGUGGAACACUCUGUCACAAGAGACCAGGGCCCUGCAGGACUUGACAUCUUUCCACAGGGCCUGCAAGACAGAGCUGUUCCGCCUGGCCUUUGGUUUGGACUCAGUCUGACCCUUAUGUUUCCCUCCCCUUAUGGUUUUGAACUAUGGGCUACUAUUAAAAUGAGGCUGCAUUUUAAAUUGUAUUUUAACCCGUAUUUUAAAUUGCCCCCCUCAUUAUGUUUUUAUAGUGAUUUUACUGCUGUUAGCUGCCCUGAGCCCGGCUCUGGCCGGGGAGGGCGGGGUAUAAAAAUUAUUAUUAUUAUUAUUAUUAUUAGAGCAUCUUGCAUGCCACAGGACUGGUGCCUUCAGGGACUGGACCUCAGGCAAAAAGGAGAGUCAGAUGGUGUCUGGUUCCUACUUUCUCCCAGAAAACAAAGCCAGCAGUUAAGGUUGGUCUUGGCCUUUUCAAUGGGUUUUUCCACCUGGCGCCUGCCUCUCCUUCCUGUCUGACACCUCACCUCCUGACAGUCCCAAAUAACACUGGACCAUCCAAACUGACCCACAGAGAUCCAUAGCUGUCUCAACUGGACUCAACCAAUGCCUGAAUCAUCCCAAUGUGCCUUGAGCACUGGAGCACAACUCUAGUUUCCUCUGCCCCCCAAAUUAAACUGGGAGUCAUGGGAAACAACAGCUUUCUAGACUCCCAGCCGUCAUUUCUUUCUGGGACACAUGGGAAGCUGCUUCUACUGAGUUAGACUCCUAGUGCAUCUAGCUCAGUAUCGCAGGCACUGACUGGCAGACGCUCUAUAGAGUUUCAGACUUGCAUCUUUUCAUCGGCUGCGUGAAGGCGCUGGGGAUUGAGACUGGGAUUGAACCUGCCAAGCUUGUGUCCAACCACAGAGCUACGGUCUUGGAGCUACGACCAUGAAAAAUGUUGAGUUUCUUCUCCCUCUGUAUUCAGUUUGGGAGGACGGGGAAAUCAGAAAACCUGUGCUCCCCAGCUUCAUUUGAAGCAGAUCUUUCCUGUGCUUAGAGAUGUGAUCGCUUCGGUGUUACCCAUUCCCAUUUCACAAAAUGAAGUUGUUUUGCUUAGUUUCGAAAUGGCGUAGAAGUUGAGAGCAUGCGCCAACCCUUUUUUUACACUUUCUCUGAAAAGCUGAAGAUCUCCUGGGAAAGCUUAAGCCAGGCUUAAGCAAACUCGGCCCUCCAGAUGUUUUGGGAUUACAAUUCCCAUCAUCCCUGACCACUAGUCUUGUUAGCUAGGGAUCAUGGGAGUUAUAUUCCCAAAACAUCUGGAGGGCUGAGUUUGCCUAUGCCUCGCUUAAGCAAAGAAUGAAUGGAUCCCAAAGAUUAGGUUGCCCUUCGCCAGUGUUUCAGAUAAUAGGCAGAGUCAAUAUUGCUGCUUCUUCAUUUUUGUUAAAUUGAAAUUAUGAGCCCUAGUACUAGUCAUUUGCUGACCAGGGUGUUACGGGAUUUGGGGUUUGAAUAUAGGCAUUGCCCUGGUCAAAAAACAGCUGUCUGUUCUUGGGGGUAUAGAAUGUGGCCAAAUAAUGCUAAUUGUUUCUGAACUAGAGAUUGGAGAGAAAUUUGAUUCAGUUUGGAUUUGGAUUGGAUUUGAUAUCCCGCUUUAUCACUACGCUAAGGAGUCUCAAACAAUCUCCUUUUCCCUUCCUCCCCCACAACAAACACUCUGUGAGGUGAGUGAGGCUGAGAGACUUCAAAGAAGUGUGACCUGCCCAAGGUCACCCAGCAGCUGCAUGUGGAGGAGCGGGGAAUCGAACCCGGUUCACCAGAUUACGAGUCCACUGCUCUUAACACUACACCACACUGGCUCAUUUAUAGUUGAACCUACCAAAUCUACACUUCCCCAAGCCAUACAAGGACUGGAACAUAGCCACCCUUUGAAAUUUGCACUUCUCCGAAUUUUGCAGUGUUGUUCUCCGGCCAAGUUAUAUGUACAAAAAUGGAAAUAUUGGGAUACAGUGUGCAUAGAAAUGCAGUAUAUUAUGGAAAGUUGCUUUGCAAAAAAAUGAUUAUAUGUGGGGGAAUUCACACUAAAAUGUUGGUGACGUUUCAUGAUGAUUUGUUUUUAAUGCAAACUAAUGUGAAACUGGGGAGAAUUGAACUUAAGAUUGGAAAAAAUGAGAAACUGAUGGAAAAUGGAAUGGGCUGAUUUGCUCACCCCUACUCUUAACUGUUUUAAAAAUUGAUGGAAAAGCAUAGGGUUUAGUCCUCCCCGAAACUGCCCACAAUUCAGGAUAUACUGGCCCCAAAUUAUGGACAGUAUUCAACUAAUGCAUCUCAUUGGUGAAACAAUUUCGCUUGUACAAUGGGACUCUCCUCCCCCUGUGUACCUCUACACCCUCCCCAAAUCUGCUCCUGGGGGUUGGGAGAACACCUAGAACAAAUUUAAGGAGUGUGCAAGGGGAAGAGAUUGGGAGAACAUUCCAUUGCACAAGCAGAAUGUUUUUGCGCUGCUAAAACAAUCAUGUAGCACUACUUUGGAAACAACCACACAUACUUGAAAACUCAAUUGCAUAUAUAAAGCUAUUGUGUGAGAAAGAAUAAUAGAAUUUGGUAGUUGGAGAUCAUCUAGUACAGUGGUUCCCAAUUAGGUCCCCUGGGAGUCUGUGGAACAAUGCCAGGGGGUCCGAGGCCCCAUUCUUUUCCUCCCCCCAACUAUUUUUUUUUUUUUUGGUCACUUUUGCGUGGCAAUAUCACAAAGUUCAUGGUCUGUUUUAGUGCUGUGUGUUUUUUCAAUAUAUCUGCCAAAAUUGGUUUUGAAAUCACACCGCGAUAACGAUUUUGACCCGGCAAUACACUGUAACAUAUCGCUCCUCGCGUGAGGGAGAAAAGGGCAGCUGAAUUCAAGGCACUACCAAUAUGGCACGAUGAUCUCAGCCAAUAGUGCUGCUGGUCUGAACUGUCUUCCCUCACACUGAGGGAGACCAGGGCAGCCAACUGCAAAGCGCUGCCUUCCCCUCAUGCUGACGGAGAACAGGACAGCUGAUUACCCUCACUUCAAGGCACCUGUCAGGACGCUGUCAAUGACUCCCGGCUGGUUGCCCAGGAAAGUAUAAAGACAAGUAAAAGUUUCUUACAUUCCUUUUUUAAUUCAAUCUUUACAGAGAGAGGCUAUAGAACCCAGCUUCUUGGAUAAUAGAGUGAAUCUCCUGUGCGAAUCUCCACCCCUUUCUCUCCCACUACCUCAUUUGUCAUCAUCAUCCACUAAGCGCCGCUAAGCUCCCUCUGUCUUUGAGCUCUUUGCUCUCCUACUUUUAAGGCUCGCCGGGUUCUGGGAGAUGGUGGGUCUGGAAUGCUUUCCAAUGACAACAUGUCAGCCAGCUGCUGGUCUGGCUCUGCCUGUUCCUCCUCUCCCAUUAUUUCCCAACUUUCCCCCUCAUCUGCCUCUGAGCUGUGACCUCCCUCAAACCCCUGUUGACAAUCUAUACUGUCUUCCUCUUCUUCCUCCCUUGAAGGGUCAGGAGGGGGAGGCGGUCUCCACCAUUCCUCCUCUGCCCAGUCCCUGACAGCACCAUGGCACUAUCUUCCCCUGGCACUGAGGCAGAGCAGCUUUUCUCAGUCAGCAGGAAAGCAGCAGCAGCCACAGUGGACGUGCAUUUUCACUGGCUGCCACCACUGGCUACCCCACUGACAGUGGCUUGAUGCACCCGCCCAUCCCCACAGUGGUGGAGGAACUCUCUCUGGCACUCAGGGCAGGACAUCGAGGGGCGGGGCGAACUGUCCAGUGGUGCACGCACAACGUCCGGGUGGCAUCCCGUACAGAGUGUGCAUGUGCGGCAUCCUGUACGGAGUGUGCACACGCAGCAGCCCGUGCACUCCGUACAGGAUGCUGCACAUUCACACUCCGUAUGGGAUGCCGCGCACAUGGCAUCUAUAUGAGCUGCCGCUCGCUUGCGCCAUCCAUCUGGGCAUCCAUAUGGACUGCCACUUGCAUGACGAGCAUAUGGGCUGCUGCGCAAACGGCAUCCCAUACGGAGUGCGCAUGUGCGGCUGCUCAUACGAACGCCUGUAUGGAUGCCACGCGAGCAGUGCCCAUACUGACUGUGCAUGCCCUCAGCCGCUCUAUAGCUGGGGGGAGGCAGGGGCCAUCUUGUCACCCCCCCAGUGGCACUCAGGGCUGACGGCCCUCUCUGCCCCGCACUUCGUACGCUCCCGCGUCCCCAUCCCCUCCCACUCAAACCAUGCGAUAGUGGUGACUCCAAUUCCUCUCCUCCCCCACCCACCCGACCUCCAUGACUCCUCCUUUCCUCCUCCCCACUCCUGAUCUACAUGCACCUCACCCGCCUGACAGGGACUGGGCAGAGGAAGGAUGGUGGAGACCGCCUCCACAGCCUGACCCUUCCAGAGAAGAAGACAGUUCAGAAUUACAACAGCGGUUUGAGGGAGGUCACAGCUCAUAGGCAAAAGAGGGGGAAAACUGGGAAAUAAUGGGAGAGGAGGAGGAGGGAGAGGAAGCACCAGGAGGACAACAGCUGACAGACACAGUGUCUUUAGAAAGCAUUCCAGACCCCCCCUCCCAGAAGCUGGCAAGCCUUGAAAGUAGUAGAGCAAAGGGCUCAGAAGCAAAGGGUCCUCAGCACCACCUGUAGGGGAGAAGGUGAUGAAUGAGAAAGUGGGGAAAGGGGGGGGGAGAGUCACUCUGGACAACACCAUUAUUCCAAGAGGCUGCGUUCCAAGCAUCUCUCUGUAAAUAUUGAAUAAAAAGCAGAUGGUGAGGACUUUUCCUUGUCUUACCUGUUCCUGGCAAACUGGCAUGAGGGAUGUUUCCUCUGCUGCCUGACACUGCCCAAGUGAAACAAGUGCUCCUUCGCUCAUCUCCACGCAUGUCCUCCAGUUUCAGACAUCACAAUAUGUCAGAAUCUGUGGCUUGGCUUUUGAGAAAUAGGGGGUCCUCAUUAAUUAGCUAAUUGGGAACCACUGAUCUGGUCCAAAGCUCUGCAAUGCAGGAAUAGGUGGCUGUCCCAUAUGAGGAUUGAACCUGCAACCUUGGUGUUAUCAGCACCACUCUCUAACCAACUGUGAUAGCCAGGCUAAGCUCAAACUGCUCUCCUGCAUGAUCCAACGUUACAUGUUUUGUGGGGGGUUUCUUGCUGGGAGAAUAAUGAGACCUGCCAUUACUCCCCUGUCUUCACAUUCUGAAUGGUAUGCUCUUAAGUGGACCGUACCACAAACCCAACCCUUUCAUUUUUCUCUUAUGCAGUUACCAAUAUGGCUUCACCAACAGUGCAAAUUCCUGCCCAUAAGACUGUUGCACUACCUGCAAGAUUCUGGUGUUCAUAGAGUUUUGAAAGAG